CCUACGGGUGGCAGCAGUGAGGAAUAUUGGUCAAUGGGCGCGAGCCUGAACCAGCCAAGUCGCGUGAGGGAAGACGGUCCUAUGGAUUGUAAACCUCUUUUGUCGGGGAGCAAAAGACGCCACGCGUGGCGUUCCGAGAGUACCCGAAGAAAAAGCAUCGGCUAACUCCGUGCCAGCAGCCGCGGUAAUACGGAGGAUUCGAGCGUUAUCCGGAUUUAUUGGGUUUAAAGGGGGCGCAGGCGGAAGAUCAAGUCAGCGGUAAAAGUGAGAGGCUCAACCUCUUCGAGCCGUUGAAACUGGUGUUCUUGAGUGAGUGAGAGGUAGGCGGAAUGCGUGGUGUAGCGGUGAAAUGCAUAGAUAUCACGAAGAACUCCGAUUGCGAAGGCAGCAUACCGGCGCUCAACUGACGCUCAUGCACGAAAGUGUGGGUAUCGAACAGGAUUAGAUACCCCUGUAGUC
rnacentral:rRNA from 1 species